rnacentral:lncRNA from 1 species
CCAAACGCAAGGGUGUUCCAGGUAUACCCCAGCCACUCCUGCUGUUGAUGAACCGUUUAUAACGUUCCUGGUGUAGAAGGUGGUCCAGGGUACAGGAGUCAUUGUCAUAUACAGCUUGAUUGAGAGCCUGUUUUUCCCCGGUGUCAGUGUCCUCCUCCUCCUUUUCAGGUUGCAGAAGAGAAAAGAUCUUGGCGAUAUCCAUGAGGUUCAUUCUGGUUUAUUCGAAUAGCGCUAUUCUCAUUGCAAGGAGGAGGAAAUUCCAGAUCUGUUUUCUUUGUGCUGCUUAUUAGGGAUGGAAAAGCUUUCGUUGUUUUCACUGUGUCUUAGCUAGUGUUGGGAUUGAAGGUCCUGAUGAACUAAAAUGUUUCUCUAUCUUUUCACUUGUUGUUGCAGGCUGUGGAGGUGGGCUUCCCAAAGCUUCUUGGAUCACUGAUUAUUGUGGCGAUCUUCUGGCUGACUAAUGCCGAGUAUGUAACAGACAAGGACUCAAACUGCCUUUUCCUGCUCCACUGCUGCUGUUUCCAAGUGAGCCCUGUUGGAAGCUAUGUUCUUCCCAUAGUAAUCGGGGAAGUAGAUUUACUUCCCUUGUCUUACUGACCAU